rnacentral:rRNA from 1 species
GAUCGCAAGGUUAAAACUCAAAGGAAUUGACGGGGACCCGCACAAGCGGUGGAACAUGUGGUUUAAUUCGAUGCUACGCGAAAAACCUUACCAAGUCUUGACAUGUUAGUCGUAUAGCUAAGAAACUAGCUAGUCAGUUCGGCUGGACUAUCACAGGUGUUGCAUGGCUGUCGUCAGCUCGUGUCGUGAGAUGUUGGGUUAAGUCCCGCAACGAGCGCAACCCUUAUCUUUAAUUGCCAACAGGUAAUGCUGGGAACUUUAAAGAAACUGCCAAUGGAGAAUUGGAGGAAGGUGAGGAUGACGUCAAGUCAGCAUGGCCCUUAUGACUUGGGCUACACACGUGUUACAAUGGUAGUUACAAUAUGAUGCAAUAGGGCGACCUGAAGCAAAUCUCAAAAAGCUACCUCAGUUCGGAUUGUACCCUGCAACUCGGGUGCAUGAAGUUGGAAUCGCUAGUAAUCGCAGAUCAGCACGCUGCGGUGAAUACGUUCUCGGGUCUUGUACACACUGCCCGUCAAGCCAUGGAAGUUAAAUUUUCCUUAAGUAAAUGAGCUAACUGCAAAGAGGCAGUUUACCAAGGAGAAUUUGAUGACUGGGGUU